rnacentral:rRNA from 1 species
UAUUGGUCAAUGGGCGCUAGCCUGAACCAGCCAAGUAGCGUGAAGGAUGAAGGCUCUAUGGGUCGUGAACUUCUUUUAUAAAGGAAUAAAGUCGGGUAUGCAUACCCGUUUGCAUGUACUUUAUGCAUAAGGAUCGGCUAACUCCGUGCCAGCAGCCGCGGUAAUACGGAGGAACCGAGCGUUAUCCGGAUUUAUUGGGUUUAAAGGGAGCGUAGAUGGAUGUUUAAGUCAGUUGUGAAAGUUUGCGGCUCAACCGUAAAAUUGCAGUUGGUACUGGAUAGCUUGAGUGCAGUUGAGGCAGGCGGAAUUCGUGGUGUAGCGGUGAAAUGCUUAGAUAUCACGAAGAACUCCGAUUGCGAAGGCAGCCUGCUAAGCUGCAACUGACAUUGAGGCUCGAAAGUGUGGGUAUCAAACAGG